UCGUAUGACCCAUGAAAGAUUUUGUGCUUGUAAACAACAAAGAAUCGUGUUUAAUGUUUUUUUUUUAAUCAAGUACGUUUUUGUCCUUCUGUAUUUUUAUUGAUGUAAUCUGUUCCAAGAUUUGUUGAAUUCAACGCAAGGUUUGUAUGCACAACAAAAAAACAAACAAAAAAAGAGGAGCAGGAUAUUCGUUUGAAUGUGAAACUCUUUGGACCCACUUCCGGUCGUCUCCUUCGCUUUAAAUACUCAACAAGCGCCAAAGUUGAGCCUCUUCACAGAGGAAAAUGACGACCGAAGAGCCCCGAUGGCGAAAAGUCCCUUCGGUUACAGGCGUCAUACCGCGUUCGAGACACGGACACCGGGCGGUGGCCAUCCGGGAGCUGAUUGUGGUGUUUGGCGGCGGAAACGAAGGGAUAGCGGAGGACCUCCAUGUUUACAACACUGUUUCCAAGCAAUGGUUUCUGCCCGCGGUGAGGGGAGACAUCCCUCCUGGUUGUGCCGCCCACGGCUUAGUCUGCGAAGGUGCCCGGAUACUGCUCUUUGGUGGCAUGGUGGAGUAUGGCAAAUACUCCAACAACCUCUAUGAACUUCAGGCUAAUCGCUGGCUUUGGAAGAAACUGAAGCCCCGAGCGCCCAAGAACGGCUUACCCCCGUGUCCUCGUAUCGGCCACAGUUUCACCCUCGUGGGCAACAAGUGCUACGUGUUCGGAGGGCUGGCCAACGUCAGCGAGGACCCCAACGGCAACGUCCCACAGUACAUGGACGACAUGUACGAGUUGGAGCUGCAGUCCGUGUCGGGGGCGAGGGGCUGGCGCGUCCCGGAGACGAAAGGCGGCGGUCCUUCGGCGCGAGAGUCGCACAGCGCCGUCGCCUACACCGGGCCGGGCUCUCCAAAGCUCUUUAUCUUUGGAGGGAUGCAAGGCAGCCGAUUAGACGACCUCUGGCAGCUGGACCUCAGCACGAUGCUGUGGUCAACGCCCGAGACGAGGGGUUCGGUGCCCUUACCCAGGAGCCUUCACUCUGCCAGUGUGAUUGGAAACAAGAUGUUCGUCUUCGGCGGCUGGAUUCCCGUUCCGGAGUCGGAGAAGCAAAACGAGGCGGGGAUCAAAUGGAUUUGCACUAACUCCUUAUUCGCGCUGAACUUGGACACGAUGAGCUGGCAGAACCUGGGCCCAGAGUACGACGACAUCGGCCUCCAGCUGCAGAGCCGGAACCUCCAGAAGCUCGAGCACGACGACGGCGGCAGGCCCAAAGCCAGGGCAGGCCACUGCGCCGCCGCCAUCGGGUCCAGGCUGUACAUUUGGAGCGGGCGGGACGGUUACCAUAAGAACCUUUAUCAAGUGUGCUGCAAGGACCUUUGGUACCUGGAGACAGAUCGACCGGCCUGCGCCGAUGCGGUGAUGCUCAUCAAAUCCACCGUGGGCACGCUUCACGUGGCCUGGUGCCCCCUGUCGGGAGCCGACUGUUACCUCCUCCAGAUUCAGCCCGUCCACCCUCAACUCAAACAAGAUUUGACGUCGACAGACAAAGAGAGAAAAGAUAAAGAUUCCCAGUCCUUGGAUGUCACGAGCGAACGCACCACUGAAGAUCAAGGGAACGUCUCAGCACAGGAUGGUUCAAAGCAGCACAACGAUCAGGUGAAAUCAUCCAAUAGCUCACAAGAAGGGGGACAGGAGUCGUCGUGCUCAGCCCACCGUCAGAAGGCUGCGAACCCCGCUCAGAAUCCAGAGGGAGCCGCGUGGUUUGACGUCGGCGUGUUCAAGAGCCUCUUUUCUGAGGUCCGGCACUACUAUCUCCCGGCCGACAACAACCGGGCGACCCCGACCCUCGGCGGCCGGCCUCCUGUCGCCAGAGAGAGGAAGCUGCCGGAUUCGGACGACUACCAGGACAGAGAGAAGAAGGAGCUGGAGCCGGGCCGGAGUUACCGCUUCAGAGUGGCGGGCGUCAAUUGCUUCGGCCAGGGAGACUUCAGCCAGGUCAGCGAGUUCAAGACGUGCCUGCCCGGCUUCCCCGGAGCCCCCUCGGCGGUCAAGAUCUCCAAGGCCAACGAAUUAGUCCACAUCACAUGGGAAGCUCCGACGUCUCCAUCGGGCCGCAUCUUGGAGUAUUCCAUGUACAUGGCGGUGAAGAAGAGCCGCUCGUCCAGCUCGGAAGGGCCGGGCCAACUGGCGUUUAUCCGAAUCUACCGCGGUGUCAAGAUGUUCUGCACGGUGGGCUCCAACCACCUGGUCAACGCGCACCUGGACUGCUCCGCCUCCAACCGGCCGGCGCUGGUGUUCCGCAUCGCCGCCAAGAACGAGCAGGGCUACGGGCCGGCGACGCAGAUCCGCUGGAUCCAAGGUCGGCAGUGAACGCGGCCAUCGAGUAAAUCCGGUAUACGCGUGACCUUGCUGCGCAUUAAGCGACGCGGGGAAAUGAGCUCCCGGCGCAGACGGCUUCAAAAUGCAAGGCGAAUCCAAGGGGUGCGGCGCGCAGGAUCUGGACGGCGGCGACAGCUCCAGCUGAAAGUGAGUCACGAAGGCGAACUCUGGCAAUCAAGCAAUAAACACCAGUGAAAUACCUGCAUAAUAUGAAAGAUUUUAGUUAUAGUUUUGAUAAUUGAUGUAUUUAAAAAUCUUUUUCUAUAGCAUUCAUAUAUUUUGUAAAACAGACUACUGCACUUAAAAGGAUGAUAUGCUGGCGGCAUUGUGUUUUUGUUGUAGUUAUUUGUUUUGAUGAAUGAUUUGAAUGUAAUUUAUUUAAUUUACGGCUUGAAGGCAGGAAAAGCAUUUCAAGUUUGAUGAAAUGGGAUACUGGGUUUCACAAUUUUUGUGUGUGCAUUGAUGAAUCAAAUCGUCAAAGAAAUCACUGUGAAUUUGUCUGAUGUGAUGUUUGUGGAACUUACUGCAGUAAAUUGCCUUUGCUAAUAAUGUGGCAGCGGUGGUUUCUUUCUAUUAAACUUUGUGUUUGUAUGUUCGUUUCGUGAGAAUCGUACCGUUCAUGAAUUGGAACAAUAGCACGGAAUUGGAUUAGUUUUGUAUAUUUCAUUGGGUUGGUCUUUUUUUUUUUUUUUUUGUACACAAAUUCGUAAACAGGUGUUUAACAGGCUAAUUUGGUCAGGUGAGUACCGGUAGAUUGUAGCACAGUGGAACAUUUCUUGGUAUUAUUCGGCGCUUUAAGUUAAAACCAAAACGUUCACUCGACUGUAUAAUUAAAGAAUGUAAAGUAGAAGCGUAAGCAGAAAUAGAAGUGGCACUAUUAAAGAUUCGCUAACUAGCAAGGAACAAGCAUUCAAUAUAAGCUAGCAUGUAAUUACGUCGUGACCAAAAUAGCCAGUUGGUUCCUCUUUCGCUUGUGUUUACUUAGUAUUGUGUUUAUUGUUGAUUUUGU